GUAACGCGUAUCCAACCUUCCCAUUACUGUGGGAUAACCUGCCGAAAGGCAGACUAAUACCGCAUGGUCUUCGAUGACGGCAUCAGAUUUGAAGUAAAGAUUUGUCGGUAAUGGAUGGGGAUGCGUCUGAUUAGCUUGUUGGCGGGGUAACGGCCCACCAAGGCGACGAUCAGUAGGGGUUCUGAGAGGAAGGUCCCCCACAUUGGAACUGAG
rnacentral:rRNA from 1 species